rnacentral:tRNA from 1 species
UCCCUGGUGGUCUGGUGGUUAGGACUCUGUGCUUUCAAUGCUGAGGGCCUGGGUUCAGUCCCUGGUCAGGGAA